rnacentral:rRNA from 1 species
UACGUAGGGUGCAGGCGUUAAUCGGAAUUACUGGGCGUAAAGCGUGCGCAGGCGGUUUCUUAAGUCAGAUGUGAAAGCCCCGGGCUUAACCUGGGAACUGCGUUUGAAACUGGGAGACUUGAGUGUGGCAGGAGGGGGGUGGAAUUCCGACGUGGUAGCAGUGAAAUGCGUAGAUAUGUGGAGGAACACCAAUGGCGAAGGCAGCCCCCUGGGUCAACACUGACGCUG